UUUUUGCACAGAACAUGUUCUACACUAGUUCUCUCAGCUGGCUGUGGCUCAUAUUUGCUGGUGAACCAUAGUCAUGAGUUCCGGCUGAUUGGCUGAACCACUGUACCAGUGACACACUUGUGCACCAUUACAGUGUUGCCAGAUGUGUUUGUGCACCAUCACCACGUACUCCGCUAUGUACAUGCACAGUCAUGGUGUUAGCAGUUGUGUAUGCACUAUACAAAGACGUAGACAGCUGUAUACUUGCACCAUCAUGAUGUACAUAAGCUGUGUACGUGUGCCAACAUGAUGUCCACAGCUAUGUACAAUACCAUGAUGUACCCAGCCGUGCACAUAUAUUGUUGUAUGGUAGCUAUCUGUAUGGGUACAGUACCCUGUACAUAGUAUGGGUGUAUCACUGAUUUGUAUCCAGUCAUAUGUAUCCCACUGCAAUGUACAUGGCUGUAUACAUCCAAUAAUGUACACAGCCCUGUAUGUGCUUCUCUGUGAUGUAAGUAGCUAUGUAUGUACGUCACUGAAAAAUGGCAGGUUUUGUAUGCGCACCUUUGCAUAGUAACUUGCAACCUUUGUACAUCAGCACAAUGAUAGUUACAGUGCGAAUAAGUGCUUUGGUCAGCCCCGUGCACGUUCAAGUGUACUACGACGAGCAGUGUACAAGCAGGAAAUACAUCACCGUAGUCAGAUGUGUACAUGCAGCACUUCCCUGAGGGUGAUGUACUUUCAGUCAGUUCUGUACCUCAAGCAUCAUGUCGAGCUGCAUCAAUAGAGAAGAUUCGAUCAGUGUUUUGGGAAGAAAUUCUGAAGCAAGUCAAGCCACGGCAGCUUCUCAAGACAUCACGUCAGACUUAGAGGCUGAGCCAGUCUCUUCGCCGCCCCAACACCUCACCAUGACGGUCACCAAAGUAUUUUCAUAAUGAUACAGAAUUCCCCUCUAACCUGUCUCUCAGUUUCCUGUACCGAGCCCCUUUUCCCUUCCCACACACCUUGCUCUCCUCACUCUUUGGUCUUACUAACCUCCCUUGUCCUUCCUUUCACCUCUUUCCCUUCAUAUUCACUCAACGUCGCCUCAUUCGACACAUAUAUCAUUAGAAUCUUUCCCCUUUUUAGCUGAUUCCUCUAAUCUCGGCUCCCUUCUCGUGGUCCCUUUCUCCCAAAUCUUGCCGGUUCCUUGACCACACAGUCUUAGCACGUUACCUAGUACAAAUCUCUCAACCUAUGGUGUCUGACUCCUUUGUUGCUUCCACGCCGUUCCUCUCACUCCCACGAUGUCUUAAAUACGUAUGUCACUUCUUUCAAACAUUUUGCUUGCGCCGUUCCUUAAUAUUCACCGUUUUCGUCAUAUUCACCUGCUUUAUGAACAUACUUACUCAUCAUGCACAUCGCGGCUACUUCUUCUUAUAUAUCUAUUGCACCUCAAGCACCUGUCCCUCCCGCAAAUGCGCCUACUCCUGUCGACUCAUUUGAGCCCCUUGCCUGACUUAUGAAACGCUUCCGCUUACAAUGAGAGUGACUUGUUCCGUGCUGAACUUCCUCGUUAUCACGUGUAAUGGCGUGUCGUGCUUAUCAGUCCUCCCGCGAGAAAAUAAUUUUGACUGAUUAAUACCCUGCUAACAGCUUCCACUUUGUUCCACCCUUCACCCUUGUCACCCACAUCGUGACUCAUCCGUCACCCUGCCAUUAUCACCCUCCAGCUUCAUCUAGGACUUGUUCGAUUUCUUUAUUGCGCCUUCCUUCCCCCAUCGACAUUGCACUUCCUUCAUUACUGUAUAUGCGUUGAUUUCAGUCUUCGUUUCUGAUGAUCUUCUAGGUAUAUUACUAACUUUCUGGUUAACGAUGGUACGUCAGAUUCUGGCAGGCAGAUUUAGCUAUGCACAUGAAUAUUUUUACACUAGUUGUUAAGAAGAUUGUUCCAGCUACCUUUAUUUCGACUUGACUUUCGUCUGACAAAAAGCAGACUUAAAUAGUAAUAAAAAUCAUAACAAAAGUUGUGUGGCAAUUCUGGUUCACCACCACUGUAUUCCUCGUUUAGCGUAGAUGCAAUGCAGUCAUUAUACAGGCAAGGCAGAUAUUAUUCUGAAUGCUAUUAUUCCCAAAUGAGCUUUUGGCCACUAGAGAAUAUCAGUUAGUUUACACAAAUACAACCAGAAAAGUUGUAAGUGACAGAGCUCUGUGUAGUGUAGCAUCAUCUGUCACGUUGUUAACUUGGCUGCUAUGGCAGUCUAUUCUUCUCACUCUACCAUUGUCCUUUUAUGCACAAAUUAUGUUUCCUUGUUCAACGUAGUUUAUAAGAAAAUCCUUUUCCAUAAACUGGGAUGAAGA